rnacentral:tRNA from 1 species
AAGAAUUUUCUCUUUAUUUGAACAUUACUUAUUAUUUUAUUAUUAUGCCUGGAAUAAAAAAAAACACAAUUUC